UGAGUAACACGUGAGCAAUCUGCCCUGGACUCUGGGAUAACCCCGAGAAAUCGGAGCUAAUACCGGAUACGACACCUCCCGGCAUCGGGUGGGUGUGGAAAGAAUUUCGGUCCAGGAUGAGCUCGCGGCCUAUCAGCUUGUUGGUGAGGUAACGGCUCACCAAGGCGACGACGGGUAGCCGGCCUGAGAGGGUGACCGGCCACACUGGGACUGAGACACGGCCCAGACUCCUACGGGAGGCAGCAGUGGGGAAUAUUGCACAAUGGGCGCAAGCCUGAUGCAGCAACGCCGCGUGGGGGACGAAGGCCUUCGGGUUGUAAACCUCUUUUAGUAGGGAAGAAGCGCAAGUGACGGUACCUACAAAAAAAGCACCGGCUAACUACGUGCCAGCAGCCGCGGUAAUACGUAGGGUGCAAGCGUUGUCCGGAAUUAUUGGGCGUAAAGAGCUCGUAGGCGGUUUGUCGCGUCUGCUGUGAAAAUCCGAGGCUCAACCUCGGACCUGCAGUGGGUACGGGCAAACUAGAGUGCGGUAGGGGAGAUUGGAAUUCCUGGUGUAGCGGUGGAAUG
rnacentral:rRNA from 1 species